rnacentral:rRNA from 1 species
UACGUAGGGUGCAAGCGUUGUCCGGAAUUAUUGGGCGUAAAGAGCUCGUAGGCGGUCUGUCGCGUCGGCUGUGAAAACUCGGGGCUCAACCCCGAGCCUGCAGUCGAUACGGGCAGACUAGAGUGCUGUAGGGGAGACUGGAAUUCCUGGUGUAGCGGUGAAAUGCGCAGAUAUCAGGAGGAACACCGGUGGCGAAGGCGGGUCUCUGGGCAGUAACUGACGCUGGGGAGCGAAAGCGUGGGGAGCGAACAGG